rnacentral:tRNA from 1 species
GCCUGGGUGGCUCAGUCGGUUGAGCAUCUGACUUCAGCUCAGGUCAUGAUCUAGUGGUCCGUGGGUUCGAGCCCCGCGUCGGGCU